GCACCAGACUCACUCACCAUAGCUGCUAUGCCAGGACGAUAGCAUCAGUGACAUGCUUCAAAUUUGAACUCCCUAAUUAAUUUAAUUACACCAAUAAAUAUUUCCAUAAAAUAAAAUGACUUACGUUUAUAUUUUGUCUUUAUUACCAUUUCUACCCUCCAAAUUUUCCAACUUUCAUCCCUCUCUCACACGCCGCACGCCAAUUAUCUCUCGUACUCCGCCAUUUCGCCGGAGAACGCGUCGGAAUCAGCCGGAGAUGGAAAUGUCCGGCACUUUUCCGAGGUCUAGCUCCUCUCUCCGAAUCAGUAGCGAGGAUAGCGACCCUUUUUUGCUUUCUCGUAUAAAUGCUGGAAAAGAUGACGCGUUAACAACUGAGAUCGAUCUAGAGGCUUCUUCCUCUAGUAAAGUGGCUCCUAGAAAGCACAAAUAUCGUAUGAGCAGCAUCAAAUUGUUUGGGGUAGAGUUAUCCCCUGACAAUGUUGCUGUUGCGAUGGUGUAUUUUGUUCAAGGUGUUUUAGGUCUUGCAAGACUGGCUGUCAACUUUUACUUCAAAGAUGAUUUGCAUUUGGACCCUGCUGAGGCAGCUGUGAUUGCUGGUUUAUCUUCUUUACCGUGGCUUGUCAAGCCUCUGUACGGGUUUAUUAGUGAUUCGGUCCCCCUCUUUGGUUAUCGAAGAAGGUCAUACCUGGUUUUGUCAGGGCUGUUUGGUGCACUCUCAUGGAGUUUGAUGGCUACUUUUGUUGACAACAAAUACAGUGCUGCUUUUUGCAUACUUCUUGGAUCUUUCUCUGUUGCUUUCUCGGAUGUUGUUGUAGAUUCAAUGGUUGUGGAGAGGGCACGUGGAGAGUCACAAAGCACCUCGGGAUCUCUUCAGUCUUUAUGUUGGGGUUCUUCGGCCUUUGGUGGAAUUGUGAGCUCGUAUUUCAGUGGGUCUUUACUGGAUGCAUAUGGAGUCAGGUUUGUUUUCGGGGUCACAUCAUUGCUUCCGUUGAUAACAUCUGUGGUUGCCAUUCUUGUAAAAGAACAACCAAUGCUCAGUGCAGCUACGGGGCCAAAUUUUCUUUUUGCCGGGACAGAGUUUUUGGAAAGUUCAAAACAGAGCAUUAUUCAGCUGUGGGGUUCUGUGCGACAGCGUAGUGUUUUUCUUCCCACUCUGUUUAUUUUCUUGUGGCAAGCAACUCCGCAGUCUGACUCUGCGAUGUUCUACUUUACCACAAAUUCUCUUGGUUUUACCCCGGAGUUUUUGGGACGUGUCAAGCUUGUUACCUCAGUUGCGUCUCUGCUUGGUGUUGGUAUUUAUAAUGGAUUUUUGAAGAAUGUCCCUUUACGGAAAAUAUUUCUUGCAACUACCCUUUUAGGUUCAACACUUGGGAUGACUCAGGUUUUCCUUGUUACUGGACUAAACCGGAAAUUUGGCAUUAGUGAUGAGUGGUUUGCAAUUGGUGAUUCAUUAAUUCUCACUGUUUUGAGUCAGGCCUUUUUGUUCAUUGUGGUACUGUUCAUCCUCUGUUUGUCUGCUCAUCGCUACUGUCGUCCCCUCUGUAGAUCAAGAGAGUCUCAUGUGUUUUAUCUUGGUUCUGUGGAACUUCAGUCUAAUGAUUUACAUGAUGCACUAGUGUAAUUUUUGUCCUAACUGUUGAUCGGAAGUUUUUAUUGAUUGAAUGCAUUUCUACGAAGAAUUUCCGGGAUAUUUGAGAGGUCUAGGCUUUAUCUGAAACCUAAUUAAUUCUAUUUAACCGUAUUAAUAUCUCUUCUCAACCCUCUUAAUAUCUUUAGGCAGCUACUGAUCUGCUAACAUAUACCCACCUUUAAUGGGUCUAAACAGUUACGAGACUGUUUCCCUUGUUUUAAUACAACCCCUUGCAUUUCAUUGAAUGUCUAUCCUACUCACAUAACUAACUAAUGGAUAUCUGAUAGAAAAUGGUACGACAGCCGUCAGAAAGAACUGAUAUCACAGCAGUUAGAAAGAACUGGUCUUCUACUGAAAGAAAAUAGGGAUAAACCCCUAGGAAGCAUUACAUGAUUCCAGAUAUUAUGAGAGGUCUGGAUCCAGUCCUUACAGGCUUUGCCAAUAUCAGAUCACCUAAACUGUUUUUAGUUAUUCCUGUCUAUAAGAAAUUAUUGAUCUACUGACAUAAACCCACCCUUAAUGGGUCUAAUAAAUUGUUGGCCUGUUCCCCUUGCUUGUACUUUUGUCUAACUAACUAACUAAUGCGUAUCACAUUAAAGUUUCACAUGCUUAUCACAAAUUGGCCCGUUCUGCCCGUAAAGUUUCACGUUGUCCUUGCGAUAAACAGCUUGUGACUGCUGAAACAAAUUCCUACUGGUAUUUCAACUGAUUUAAGAAGCAUGGUCUCCAAGCCAACCAGACCAUUUCAUCCCAAAACUAACGUUUAAUUAACCUGGGACAAACACAAUUAUGUGAGUGAAUCAAUUCUUUUAUAACACUGUUUUCUAUGGCCUUUUUGACCGCGAAACAGUGUUUCCAGUUGCUGCUGAAGAGGUUAUGAAGUUCUUCCACCUUAUUUUACUGGUUCAUGUUCAUGUGAACAAGGAACAAUUCAGUUCCUGUGGCUUCCUGUUUUCUAUUUCAGCAUUUCAUUGCAUUAAUUUUGAAAAGAAACCAUUUCUUUCUCUGGUGUUCCUCCAGAAUUCCAAUUGUUCACCAUACUUCUUUCCGUGACUGCAUAUGAUUCUUGUGUUUCUUGCAACGGCGGUUGCUCACAUUGAUUUCCUCAGUUUCCAAUCCCUUUUUGUCCCUCCAAUUCUUCUUUUCUUGCUGUUUUUUAUUCUUUUUUGGUUCACCAGAUUUGAUUCUUCUUUGCCACCUUGAUUCUUUCCUUGGCUCUUGAUCGAUGGAAAUUCAUCAUUGCUUAUUUUAUCUUCCUCUGAAUCUUGAAGACAAAAUCAAAUCUUUGGUUGAAAAGCACAUAACACAACCUUAUCAAUGGUAGAAAUUGUGACAAUUUGGUUGCUACUCCAUCGAAUCAUACAGUUGAGAGUGUCUCCUCUCAUUGUCAUCUAAAUCCCAAGGUAGGUUAUCCUCUCGCACUUCAAGUUCCAUCAAUGUUCUAAAUUGAUCAACUACCAAAGGUACCACCCUUCCCGUCAAAUCUUGGAAUCAUUUUCACAACCUCCACAAGUCCAAGAUUGAAAGCUCGACCUGUUUAUAGAACUGAAAUCAUAACAGUGAGAAAUAAUGGGUUUUUUAUUGGUUGAAAUUAGUAAGGUAACCCUAUGAUACCUGAUUCCGGAUAUCUCAGAGUGCUGUAUACACUCUUCGCACUACUUUCUCAAUCACAAGUCCCCUAACCUGUUUACAGUUAUCCCAAUUUAUAGGCAGCUACUGGUUUUAUAGCAUAAACCCACAUUUAAUGGGCCUAUAAUAGUUGUAGACCCAUUCCCCUUUUUCUAACGCACAAACCCUUGUAUUUCUUUCUAACUAAUUACUAGGAUAACAAAUUAAUGGCUAUCAUAAGUAUCUAUCAAUACGUUCCGCCCCCACCUCCCAAGCAUUGACCCUGGCCCCAUGGUGAAUAUAGCAAUGACAGCUGAAGUUGCUUCGGAUUCCAAGUGGUAGGCAGCUACUGGUAACAUAUACCUACCCUUAUGGGGACCGGAACCUGACUAUAUUUACUAACUUAACUAACUUUUGGGUAUCUAUCAAUAUAGUUGCUGAUCAAGUUCCCUUCUUUCUAACAUAACCCCAUGUAUUUCUUUGACUACCUAACUUAGGUAAUUGCUAUCAUGUCUAACUAAUGGGUAUUUAUGAUGAAAAUCUUAGUUGUAAAGUUUACUAGCCACUCAUAAAAAGAGGACCUUUCUUUGUAGACUAUUUAUCUGAGUCGGUGUUGUCCUUCUAAAUACAUUGAUUUUGAUAUAUUAGAUAAGUUUUUAAUGUAUUUUAAAAUAUCAAAAUCACUGUAUUUUGAAGGCUCAACACCAAAAAUCCAGCAGACAAUUGAUUAAAUUUUAUGGCAAUUCAUAAAUUUUGGCUUCUUUCAUGCCCGUUCUUGUGCUAGCAGCAAGAUUAUGUCCUGAAGGAAUGGAGGCAACUCUUUUCGCAACUCUCAUGUCUGUAUCUAAUGGAGGGAGUGUUGUUGGGGGAUUGUUAGGGGCGGG